rnacentral:lncRNA from 1 species
ACGCGCACCCAUCAGUCAGUCAGUCACCCGUGCACCGCGCGAUGCACGUGGAGCAACGAGCAAACGCACUUGCAGCUGGCACUUAUUACCGGUACGUUAAGCAGUGUCAUAUUGGAUGUUCGGAUGCUAAUUAGAUAGAUUAAAUAUGAAUUAAUUAUAAAACUAACUCUGUGCUAAUUUGUGAGACAAAUCUAUUAAACCUAAUUAAUCUAUCAUUAGUAAAUGGUGUAGCACCACGUUGUCAAAUUAGUUUAAUAGAUUCGUCUUGCGAAUUAAACUCCAUCUAUGCAAUUAGUUUAAUACUCUUAAUUAGCAUCCAAACAUUCAAUGUGACAUGUGCUAAACUUUAGCAGGGUAUCCAAACAGAGCCUAAUAUUACCUUUCAUGAUCUGCGGGCCCCGGAUGCAGAUCUCGCCGGGGAGGUUGCGGCCGAGCGAGAGGCCCGUGUCCGGGUCCACCACCUUGAGCUCCGCGUUGCGCACCACCGUGCCGCACGACCCCGGCUUGGCCGGCGACGGCUCCCUGGCGAACGCCGGGCACAUGGACAGC